AUUCACGGUAGGGAAUCACGUGACUUUUACGGUUACGCGUACAGACAAUAUGGCGGCCUAAAAACCUCGCUUCACAUGUGUUUUUAAGUUUGCAGAUAUGGGCGGUUCCAGUUCGGGUAUUGUUUGUGGAUAAUGUUGGGCAACAUUUGUCUUAAUGACCACAUAAACUGGCUACUCGGCACAGGACUUUGUAAAUGUUGUGACAAAUCGAAACGUGACAGAAGCAGUAGAAGUAUUCAAACACCAUCAUGACACACUUUAGACAUACCAAG